UGAGUUUAACGCACGUUGAAGUUUACGAUCAUUUUCAUAUAAUGAAUUUGUUAAAACAAUAAUGCAAUAGUCAAUUAGGGGUAAAAUAGUUGCUGAGACUAGAAGUUUUUUUAUAUUAGCAGUGUAAAUAUUUUUACGUAGUUUCAGACUAUAUAAUGCAGAGUUUAUUUUGCUUACUGUUUUUGCAACAUGAAAAUUCCAAGAUAGAUCACUCGAUAAAUGGAGUCCAAGACACUUAGCCGAGUCCGUAUACGGGAGUGUCACACCAUCAAUGAUGAUAGGGGAAGAUUUACUUCUAAGCCAUUCUCUCUGGCCCAAUCAGCAACAGCUUGGGCAUCAACAUUUAUCAGCCUUAUUGCUUCAUGGAGCUGAUACGAAUAGAAAUGUCCUAGGACCGAGCCUUGAGGAACACCAGACGUGGUUUCAACAAAACCCACCGGAAUCCCUUGUUCAUCUACCACUGACUGACUCCUAUUAGUCAGAUAUGAA
rnacentral:lncRNA from 1 species